UUUUUGAAAUACUCAAUUCGACGGGAAAAUUCGUAUUUAAUCUCACGAUCAAACAAAAGAACAUUUAACAUGAAACUGAUUAUCGAACUUUUAAAUUCAUCAGCAUUGUUAUUACGUUCUCUCGUUCUAUGAUCUUCAAUUCUAAUUGUGUUUACUACCAUCAUUAUCUUAAUAAGUAUCAAAUCGAUACCUUUACAUGUAUCCACAUACAAUUACAUAGAUUUUACAUACACGUGGCUUUAGAAUGUCUGAAGAGAAAAACAAGAGGAUUGUUUCAUGAGAGAUUCAAGACCUUCGACCAACGGAAGCGUGUUCGCUUAUAGUCGAAGGUUCAACGAUCGUCUAUCGAUCGAAGAUCCUUGGCUUGGCGUGUUUGUUCUGCUUUGUUUGCCGGACGAGAACGCGGAAUGCCUGAGACACGAGAGGUCUUCGCGUUGGCCCGUCGACGACAUACGUUGGCCCGAGUUCGAUAGAGUUCAUCCAAGCUGGCGUUUUAUGUGCUCGACGUUGAUAUCGAGUCCCAUGAUCUAGGUCAGCGGGUCGGGAAUCGAUAGAUGGGACAGAGAUGAGAACGAGGCCUAAAUUAGAGCUCGAGGGAGUCGAUAGGGUGGACUAUCGUUCCUUUGGACUUUUACAACUCCUUGUGAAUUGGAAGCUACCUGUGUCUCUAUAUUUUUAGAGCUUUGUUUCUGUAGGCUUAUCAUUGUGCCAUUGUAUCGUCUACAGGAUGGUUCAUUCAUGUUAUAGUAAUUAUUGGUUCUUCUUUUGUUAUAUCGAUAAUGAGAAUUUUUGUUUGUAAUUUUUGCAAUCCGCGAAUUUUUACGUUCCAAUUUCACUUUAAUUUCAAGAAGAAUUUCAAGUAAGAACUUCUAAUUGUUCAAAAUAUAAUACCAGUGCGAUAUUGAAAUGAGAAAUUAUGACUAUCGAUAAUUAAUCUAUCGUAUUUUUGUCAAACUUGAACAGUAUAUUAAGAAUAGAAAAAUGAGAUUGCGCGUGGAUCGAGAAAGGAACGCAUCAAAAGUAAUCUGUAAUUUUUACUCUGAUUUGGUUUUUGGUAUGGUAUGUACUUUGUGUUACACAGAGUUAAGCGUAAUUUGAGUUAAAGUAUAAUGAAUCUUGACUUCAGACUUUUCAUAGAAUUGCUAUUGAAACUGAACUUUAUUCCACUAGGGAUGGUAUUUCCUACAUAAUUGAUGCACCUACAUACGCCUUUUCGUAUGCAAAUGCACUGAUGCAAUACGUACGUCAUCCACGUGUAAUUAUUCGCAAUAAAUUAUCAAUUGCACAACGCGUGUCUGCAGAAUACAAUUUGGCACACGUAUUUGUACUUUAGAUGUUAGCGAAAAACAGUUGCUGCAGUUACUCAAUGAUCUCAGAUGUUCUAAAGCGGAACUAUCAGCGUGACCUAAGUGUAAUAGUUUCGUGCAAGACAGUCAGGAAAAAUUGUUUACGCGCGUAUUUCGUGAAUUUUAGAGAAGAUAAGAUUCGUGAAUAAGAUUCGAAAUUUACUAUACGUUGCGUAGCACCGUGUAGUGACAGGAGAUUAGCUUGAAAAAUUGUACAGUGCUUACGAAACAACAGAAAGAUUUGUAGUCGCUAAGGUUUUGAAAUAUUUCUGUUAUAUCAAACUUUUGACGUAGUUUUAACGAGAUUUUGCGGAACAAAAAAGCUAUUGAAGUUUUAUGAAGAUAAAAAUUACUCGAAAGAAAGAGAUUAGAAAAGGAAACAAAUAUAAAGGAUAGAAUUACUGAAAAGAGAAAGGAAUAAAGAAAUUUUUAUUCAAAUGAUUGCAGCUUCGGGAAUCAAUUUUUUCCAUACAUUUUCAUAUUUAAAAAUUAUAUUCUCUCCAAAUAGCAAUCUACAGAAUAUAAAUAAAAAUUCAGGGGUUCCAUAGCGAGGUUCAAAGUUAAUCUGUAUGAAGCUCGAUGGAAAUCGUGCAGUUUUAAAUAUUACUGGCAGUCUGCGUGAUAACGCCCAACGAGCAGAGAGGAGACAAGUUGCGACAGAUGUCAAUUUCCACGAUGGCGGAAUAUUUCGUGUCCGUGGGAGGCUCGAGAAGAAAUGGGUCGACGAAGUCCGUGGAAGCUGUCGAAUCUCAGGUACGCUCGAAAUCGAUCGUUAAAAGCGAGCUCAGACGAUUUUUGCCAACAAUACGAGCGGCCUAUAAAACCACAGCAGAUACCUCUCUCCCCCGCGUUUGGCUUCGUUAUAUUGGAUUCUGCGAAUCAAUAAACCUCGCUUGCGUCACGACCAUGCUGAUCCUAAUGCAACGAGCUUGCAACGCGUGUUUCAACGCUUCUGCACAGAACAGAGGAAUCUUCGAUUCGUUUGUUGAUUGCACACGCUGUAACGAAUGCGUUGCCUUCAUUCGUUUUUCACAUAGAAUACUCGUGGUUUAUUAUUUCAGGUAUUAAUAAUGGAAAUUGUAAUUCUUUUAUCAUUGUGCUUCUUUCUAUCAAAUUUGAGUAUUGCAUUAAACAAAAUAUUUUUAAGUA